CUCGGGCAGAGACUCGUGGUGCAUCUCCACGGACUUCACCUCAGUGGUCAGGUUGGGGGGAGCGAAGGUGACCACCAUGCCGGGCUUCAGGACACCGGUCUCAACACGACCGACUGGGACUGUUCCGAUACCUGAAAGGGAGCGAGUGUGAGUC